UUGCUUUGGCAGCAAAUAAACUAAAAUUGUAACAAUAAAGAGAAGAUUAAAGUGCCCCUGCACGAGAAUAAAAUGUAAAUUCCUGAAGAAUUCCAUAUUUUU
rnacentral:snRNA from 1 species